rnacentral:sRNA from 1 species
GCCAGGUGUGGUGGCACAUUCCUGUAAUCCCAGCUACUGGGGAGGCUGAGGCAGGAGGAUCCCAAGUUCAAGGCCAGUCUUGGCAACUUAGCAAGAUAAUACUCUGUCUCAA